rnacentral:rRNA from 1 species
UAGGGAAUCUUCUGCAAUGGACGCAAGUCUGACGGAGCAACGCCGCGUGAGUGAAGAAGGAUUUCGGUUCGUAAAACUCUGUUGUUAGAGAAGAACAGCGCAUAGAGUAACUGUUAUGCGUGCGACGGUAUCUAACCAGAAAGCCACGGCUAACUACGUGCCAGCAGCCGCGGUAAUACGUAGGUGGCAAGCGUUGUCCGGAUUUAUUGGGCGUAAAGCGAGCGCAGGCGGUCAAUUAAGUCUGAUGUGAAAGCCCCCGGCUCAACCGGGGAGGGUCAUUGGAAACUGGUUGACUUGAGUGCAGAAGAGGAGGGUGGAAUUCCAUGUGUAGCGGUGGAAUGCGUAGAUAUAUGGAGGAACACCAGUGGCGAAGGCGACUCUCAGGUCUGUAACUGACGCGGAGGCUCGAAAGCGUGGGUAGCAAACAGG